CACGUAGGGCGCAAGCGUUGUCCGGAAUUAUUGGGCGUAAAGAGCUCGUAGGCGGUCUGUUGCGUCCGCUGUGAAAACUCGGGGCUUAACCCCGAGCCUGCAGUGGAUACGGGCAGACUAGAGGUAGGUAGGGGAGAAUGGAAUUCCCGGUGUAGCGGUGAAAUGCGCAGAUAUCGGGAGGAACACCGGUGGCGAAGGCGGUUCUCUGGGCCUUACCUGACGCUGAUGCACGAAAGCUAGGGGAGCAAACAGG
rnacentral:rRNA from 1 species